rnacentral:rRNA from 1 species
AACCCAGUGUGAUUCGUCACACUAUCAUUAACUGAAUCCAUAGGUUAAUGAGGCGAACCGGGGGAACUGAAACAUCUAAGUACCCCGAGGAAAAGAAAUCAACCGAGAUUCCCCCAGUAGCGGCGAGCGAACGGGGAGGAGCCCAGAGCCUGAAUCAGCAUGUGUGUUAGUGGAAGCGUCUGGAAAGGCGCGCGAUACAGGGUGACAGCCCCGUACACAAAAGCGCAUGUGCUGUGAGCUCGAUGAGUAGGGCGGGACACGUGGUAUCCUGUCUGAAUAUGGGGGGACCAUCCUCCAAGGCUAAAUACUCCUGACUGACCGAUAGUGAACCAGUACCGUGAGGGAAAGGCGAAAAGAACCCCGGCGAGGGGAGUGAAAAAGAACCUGAAACCGUGUACGUACAAGCAGUGGGAGCACCCUUCGGGGUGUGACUGCGUACCUUUUGUAUAAUGGGUCAGCGACUUAUAUUCUGUAGCAAGGUUAACCG